rnacentral:lncRNA from 10 species
CUCCCAGACCUUCCUUCCCAAUUUCUUAAAGAAUGGUCUCGGUGCCAACUUAAAUAUUGCAUUUGGUUGGGAGAGGAGGAACCGCGAGCCCAGAAUGGAAGUCAAAUUAUUCCACAAAUAUUGCUUAUUUAAAUAACAUUUAAAAAAUACAUCAUGUUCAGUGGUGAAGAACUACUAAAUUAUUGAAUUCCCCAAAGCAUCCUAUAAGCUUUAAAGUGGCUCAUGAAGCCCUAUAAAAGAAUAUAAUAAAUAGACAAAAAGGAACGCCGGGCUCCAUGUCAGAAUGCCUGUGUGCGCCAACGCUAAACAUCUUCAUGUAAUCUUUCCACUAAGAUUAAUGAAACAAGUAAAGUAAUCAAAUCUGUAUGGGUGUAUAAACGCAUGAUUCCAGACAAUAUUAGAACAAAUUGUCUAAAACUAAUAGCGAAUGCGUCAGUUCAGCUCCAACAGCUUUUGUUGGGCUCUCACUUGGAUGUAAUCAAAACAUUUGUUUAAACUAAGAUGGAUAUGAGGCGCUAAGAUGUCAGUUUUUUGAAAGAGAAAAAUAAAACAAAAGCAAUGUCUUUGGUGAGGAGAUUGGCACCGCCAAUAGGGCUGCAUUACUGAGGAAUCUGG